UACGUAGGGUGCGAGCGUUGUCCGGAAUUAUUGGGCGUAAAGAGCUCGUAGGCGGUGUGUCACGUCGGCCGUGAAAACCUGCAGCUUAACUGUGGGCGUGCGGGCGAUACGGGCAGACUUGAGUACUGCAGGGGGAGACUGGAAUUCCUGGUGUAGCGGUGGGAAUGACGCAGAUAUCAGGGAGGAACACCGGUGGCGAAGGCGGGGUCUCUGGGCAGUAACUGACGCUGAGGAGCGAAAGCGUGGGGGAGCGAACAGG
rnacentral:rRNA from 1 species